CACAAACACUCACACACCCAUGACUAGAAUUACAGUUGUUAUUUCAAUGGGAAGAAAUGACGCGGGGCAGGAAAUGAGAAUCUGUUAGAUGAGAAGAGCAGUCUUCUCAUCCUAAUAUUUGAGACAUUCCUCUUUCAUUUUCCUAUGACUCAUGCUUCUUUCUUUCUGGCAUCUUGUUGGAGGAGGAGGAGGAGGAUAAUGAUUGAGGAAUUUCUGCGACUGAUGCAAGGCAUCAAUCCACAGGUUGAAAAAGAGCUCCA
rnacentral:lncRNA from 1 species